CAAAUUAUCUUUAAGUUAAGAAUUUCAUUUACACUGAAGUUUAUACUGUGCAAUUCAGUAUAAUUUGA
rnacentral:tRNA from 1 species